UAGGGAAUCUUCGGCAAUGGGGGGAACCCUGACCGAGCAACGCCGCGUGAGUGAAGAAGGUUUUCGGAUCGUAAAGCUCUGUUGUUAAGGAAGAACGAGUGUGAGAAUGGAAAGUUCAUGCUGUGACGGUACUUAACCAGAAAGGGACGGCUAACUACGUGCCAGCAGCCGCGGUAAUACGUAGGUCCCGAGCGUUGUCCGGAUUUAUUGGGCGUAAAGCGAGCGCAGGCGGUUAGAAAAGUCUGAAGUGAAAGGCAGUGGCUCAACCAUUGUAGGCGUUGGAAACGGUUUAACUUGAGUGCAGAAGGGGAGAGUGGAAUUCCAUGUGUAGCGGUGAAAUGCGUAGAUAUAUGGAGGAACACCGGUGGCGAAAGCGGCUCUCUGGUCUGUAACUGACGCUGAGGCUCGAAAGCGUGGGGAGCGAACAGG
rnacentral:rRNA from 1 species